AUUUCUCGAGUGUUUGUACGAGUGUGUAUCAAGUCUAAGGAAUUACAAUCAUACUCUUUAAUGGUUGACAUAUAGGAGUUGGGCUAAACGAUUCCUUCAGAGAGCGGAGGUAUAUACGAAUUGGUAACCGAUCUAACUCACUGUGAAAACAGUGUAGACGAGACAGAAACUAAUUUGUUAGUUGUUUGUGGGAAACCACUCAGUGUACUAUAUUGAAUACUAUUAAAGAUUCAAUGUGUGUUAGGUUUAGACUUGUAUAUAUACACGUUGUUGACGAGGGAAGAAAAUCGAUAUACCUUUAAAAGUGGUUAGAGAAUUAUUGAGUGAAUUGAUACACGGCGAUGAGUGAAGAUUAAAGGAAUGUAUGUAUGUAGUACAUUCGAGUUUUGUGAUAUUGGUGGUAAGAAAUUGUAAAGGAGUUGUAUAGUUGGUUAAACUAAUAAGGGAGAUAGAGUUUUAAAACUCGAAGUGUGAUUAUUAAAUUAUUAAGGAAAAUAGUAACCAAUGAGGUGUAAUCAAAGAGAGGAUUGAUGUUAGACGAGUUAACGCUCAAGGAGGAUGUGUAAAGUAUUUAGGAGCGUAAGGUUUCAGUUCUGCUGAUGCAGAACUUGUC
rnacentral:lncRNA from 1 species